GCGAACAGAUAAGGAGCUUGCUCCUUUGACGUUAGCGGCGGACGGGUGAGUAACACGUGGGUAACCUACCUAUAAGACUGGGAUAACUUCGGGAAACCGGAGCUAAUACCGGAUAACAUUUGGAACCGCAUGGUUCUAAAGUGAAAGAUGGUUUUGCUAUCACUUAUAGAUGGACCCGCGCCGUAUUAGCUAGUUGGUAAGGUAACGGCUUACCAAGGCAACGAUACGUAGCCGACCUGAGAGGGUGAUCGGCCACACUGGAACUGAGACACGGUCCAGACUCCUACGGGAGGCAGCAGUAGGGAAUCUUCCGCAAUGGGCGAAAGCCUGACGGAGCAACGCCGCGUGAGUGAUGAAGGGUUUCGGCUCGUAAAACUCUGUUAUUAGGGAAGAACAAAUGUGUAAGUAACUGUGCACAUCUUGACGGUACCUAAUCAGAAAGCCACGGCUAACUACGUGCCAGCAGCCGCGGUAAUACGUAGGUGGCAAGCGUUAUCCGGAAUUAUUGGGCGUAAAGCGCGCGUAGGCGGUUUCUUAAGUCUGAUGUGAAAGCCCACGGCUCAACCGUGGAGGGUCAUUGGAAACUGGGAAACUUGAGUGCAGAAGAGGAAAGUGGAAUUCCAUGUGUAGCGGUGAAAUGCGCAGAGAUAUGGAGGAACACCAGUGGCGAAGGCGACUUUCUGGUCUGUAACUGACGCUGAUGUGCGAAAGCGUGGGGAUCAAACAGGAUUAGAUACCCUGGUAGUCCACGCCGUAAACGAUGAGUGCUAAGUGUUAGGGGGUUUCCGCCCCUUAGUGCUGCAGCUAACGCAUUAAGC
rnacentral:rRNA from 1 species